GACCUGAUAGCACAGUGGCUAGUGCGUCCGCUUCUUGUAGGAACAAAAUCAUCAUAGUUAAGCAGAAAACCCCCGUUCGAUUCGGGGUCGGGUCA